UGGUUCAGGGUACACUACAGAGGAGUA
rnacentral:piRNA from 1 species